rnacentral:rRNA from 1 species
AUCAACGCUGGCGGCGCGCCUAACACAUGCAAGUCGAACGAGAAAGCCGGGGCUAACCUGGUGAGUACAGUGGCGUACGGGUGAGUAACACGUGGGUAAUCUACCUCCUUGUGGGGGAAUAACUUUGGGAAACCGGAGCUAAUACCGCAUAAGCUCGAGAGAGGAAAGCAGGCAAUGCGCAGGGAGAGGAGCCCGCGGCCGAUUAGCUAGUUGGCAGGGUAAAGCCUACCAAGGCAAAGAUCGGUAGCCGGCCUGAGAGGGCACACGGCCACACUGGCACUGAACACGGCCAGACUCCUACGGGAGGCAGCAGUGGGGAAUCUUGCACAAUGGGGGAAACCCUGAUGCAGCGACGCCGCGUGAGCGAUGAAGCCCUUCGGGGUGUAAAGCUCUUUCGGCAGGGAAGAUGAUGACGGUACCUGCAGAAGCAGCUGCGGCUAACUACGUGCCAGCAGCCGCGGUAAUACGUAGGCAGCAAGCGUUGUUCGGAGUUACUGGGCGUAAAGGGUGUGUAGGCGGUUGCUUAAGUUUGGUGUGAAAUCUCCCGGCUCAACUGGGAGGGUGCGCCGAAUACUGAGUGACUCGAGUGCGGGAGAGGAAAGUGGAAUUCCUGGUGUAGCGGUGAAAUGCGUAGAUAUCAGGAGGAACAUCGGUGGUGUAGACGGCUUUCUGGACCGUAACUGACGCUGAGACACGAAAGCGUGGGUAGCAAACAGGAUUAGAUACCCUGGUAGUCCACGCCCUAAACGAUGCAUAUUUGGUGUGGGUCAUCCAGUUGAUCCGUGCCGGAGCUAACGCGUUAAAUAUGCCGCCUGGGGAGUACAGUCGCAAGGCUGAAACUCAAAGGAAUUGACGGGGGCCCGCACAAGCGGUGGAGCAUGUGGUUCAAUUCGACGCAACGCGAAGAACCUUACCUGGGCUCGAACGGCUGGUCAACGGCGGUGGAAACACUGUUACCCCGCAAGGGGGUCCAGUCGAGGUGCUGCAUGGCUGUCGUCAGCUCGUGUCGUGAGAUGUUGGGUUAAGUCCCGCAACGAGCGCAACCCUUGAUCUGUAGUUGCCAUGCAGUCAAGCUGGGCACUCUAGCGAGACCGCCGCGGAUAACGGGAGGAAGGUGGGGAUGACGUCAAGUCCUCAUGGCCUUAUGUCCAGGGCUACACACGUGCUACAAUGGAUCGGUACAAAGCGGCAGCAAACCCGCGAGGGGGAGCGAAUCGCAAAAACCGUCUCAGUUCGGAUUGGAGGCUGCAACUCGCCUCCAUGAAGCUGGAAUCGCUAGUAAUCGCAGAUCAGCACGCUGCGGUGAAUACGUUCCCGGGCCUUGUACACACCGCCCGUCACAUCACGAAAGUGGUGAUACUAGAAGUCGUGCGGUCAACCCGCAAGGGGGAGCAGCGGCCCAAGGUAUGACUCAUGAUUGGGGUG